AGUGCUGAAAGCAUCUAAGCACGAAACUUGCCCCGAGAUGAGUUCUCCCUGAGACUUAAAGUCUCCUGAAGGAACGUUGAAGACGACGACGUUGAUAGGCCGGGUGUGUAAGCGCAGCGAUGCGUUGAGCUAACCGGUACUAAUGAACCGUGAGGCUUAACCUUACAACGCCGAAG
rnacentral:rRNA from 1 species